rnacentral:rRNA from 4 species
GUGGACGCCAGUCUGCAUGGAGCCGACCUUGAAAUACCACCCUUUAAUGUUUGAUGUUCUAACGUGGACCCGUAAUCCGGGUUGCGGACAGUGUCUGGUGGGUAGUUUGACUGGGGCGGUCUCCUCCUAAAGAGUAACGGAGGAGCACGAAGGUUGGCUAAUCCUGGUCGGACAUCAGGAGGUUAGUGCAAUGGCAUAAGCCAGCUUGACUGCGAGCGUGACGGCGCGAGCAGGUGCGAAAGCAGGUCAUAGUGAUCCGGUGGUUCUGAAUGGAAGGGCCAUCGCUCAACGGAUAAAAGGUACUCCGGGGAUAACAGGCUGAUACCGCCCAAGAGUUCAUAUCGACGGCGGUGUUUGGCACCUCGAUGUCGGCUCAUCACAUCCUGGGGCUGAAGUAGGUCCCAAGGGUAUGGCUGUUCGCCAUUUAAAGUGGUACGCGAGCUGGGUUUAGAACGUCGUGAGACAGUUCGGUCCCUAUCUGCCGUGGGCGCUGGAGAACUGAGGGGGGCUGCUCCUAGUACGAGAGGACCGGAGUGGACGCAUCACUGGUGUUCGGGUUGUCAUGCCAAUGGCACUGCCCGGUAGCUAAAUGCGGAAGAGAUAAGUGCUGAAAGCAUCUAAGCACGAAACUUGCCCCGAGAUGAGUUCUCCCUGAGACUUAGAGUCUCCUGAAGGAACGUUGAAGACGACGACGUUGAUAGGCCGGGUGUGUAAGCGCAGCGAUGCGUUGAGCUAACCGGUACUAAUGAACCGUGAGGCUUAACCUU